CAAACAACUAGUUGUGAAUUUCUGUAUCCAACGUUUGAUAACAGUCCAUCUUAUUUGAAAUUUUUUUAUGAUCAAUAUUUUAUUGUUAUUAGAUAAUAGAACAUAAAUAUUACUUUAUGCGUGACUUAUUUUUUUAAAUUUUUUCAUAAAUAUUUUAAAUAUAACGAAUGAUUAAAUGUUUGACAUGGAAAUCCAUAAUUACACCUAUG
rnacentral:pre_miRNA from 1 species